UACGUAGGGUCCGAGCGUUGUCCGGAUUUAUUGGGCGUAAAGAGCUCGUAGGCGGUGUGUCGCGUCGGCCGUGAAAACCUGCAGCUUAACUGUGGGCUUGCGGUCGAUACGGGCAUCACUGGAGUUCGGCAGGGGAGACUGGAAUUCCUGGUGUAGCGGUGAAAUGCGUAGAUAUCAGGAGGAAUACCGAUGGCGAAGGCAGGUCUCUGGGCUGACACUGACGCUCAUGCACGAAAGCGUGGGGAGCAAACAGG
rnacentral:rRNA from 1 species